UUCUCUUUAAUGAUAAUAAAUAAAGUGGAGUAGUUCACAUCCAUCUCUUUAAUGACCGGGACGAUUCUCACUUGGCAACGUUUCUCGGCUAGUUUUCUCUCUUAAGCAACUUUUUAAUUCUAUUCAUACAACUUAUUUUCCUCAUUCUUUUUAUUAAUGCAACUUUUUUAUUAGGCCACUAUAGUCAACAAUGAGGAAAUAAUGCAUAGCAGAUACAGAUUGGAUACAAGCAGCUGAAGUUAAAUCUCAGCCAUCAAUUAAUCAUAUCAAAGAGCCAUCUUCAAGAAUUUUCCUUCCAGUGCAUACGCAGGAGCCAUAUAUCCACUGAGCGAAAAUCAGAUAACUAGCCACCUUUAAUUUGAGAAGGAUUGAAUGAACUAAUUCAGGUAAAUUCACAUGCCUUGAGCAAAAAUAUACUUACUAUGUGCCUACCACUCUCAAGGUACUGACAUGAUCCCGUGUUGUCCCAAAUAUUCUGGCCAUGCCAAAGUCUGAAACUCUUGCAUUCCAAUCAUUAUCCAACAAUAUGUUGCUGGGCUUGAGGUCUCGAUGGAUUAUCUUCAAUCUUGAAUCCCGGUGGAGAUAAAGCAGGCCUCGGCAGAUACCUUGAAUCACAUUGAAACGCUUUGUCCAAUCUAGGAUCUGUUGUGAAUGAUCUAAACAGAAUUUUCAGGAGAAAGUGAAGUUAAAACUCCAAAUCUUCAGCAUUGAUAAAAAAAUACAUGGUAGAUCUUGAGCUAACCAAAUAGGAAAAAAUCCAAGCUUUUAUUAGGCAUGUACUCAUAUAUCAGCAUCUUCUCUUUAUUCU